CACAUUCCACAAGUGCUCUUGAGGGAGAAAUAGAAGUAAUGAGAAAGUGGAAUUCUUGAUGUGUAUGCGUGCUCACUCGGGUGCCAAUUCAUCCGACACAGACAGAUCCCUGGCCUUAUUUCGCAAGAGAGUGACAGAGCCCAUUUCCAGAUGUGCGGGAGGACGGCCCGGGACCCAGUGCUGGCAGGAGAGCUGGCGCCCUCUGCGGGAGUGCAUGUGAUACAUUUUACUCACGGGCCAGCUCCUGCUCAGCUAGUUUCAAUCUAGGCACGUCUAGAGCUC
rnacentral:lncRNA from 1 species